UUGAAAGGGAAACGAUUGAAGUCAGUCGUACCUGUGGGUAAUCAGCCUUUUGGGUGUGAUUUUGUGGAGUGUGAGGAGUUAAACGCCUUCAUGCCUGCAUAUUCGUGCACUUUGGGUGUAUUUACCCGUGUGGUAAGUUAACAUCAAUUUCGGUGGUCAUAAAAUGGCUGGAGGAAUGUAGCUUCGAUCUUGUAUUGAAGUGUUAUAGCCUUCGGUAGAUGUGAUGAUCGGGAUUGAGGAUUGCAACGGAUACCCCUCGGGGCUACCUGUCUGAUCUCUGAUCGUUGCUCUGGUGCCGAAAGCUUGCUUACGGUUAUCAAAGUCGAUGGUCAAUAGGUUAGAACGGGUUAAAUUCGUUAAGGAUGUUGACGUA
rnacentral:rRNA from 1 species